UAGAAGGAGCUUGCUCCUUUGAGACCGGGCGCACGGGUUGCGUAACGCGUAUGCAAUCUACCUUUGCAGAGGGAUAGCCCAGAGAAAUUUGGAUUAAUACCUCAUAGUAUGUGAGAUGGCAUCAUUUUCACAUUAAAGUCACAACGGCAAAAGAUGAGCAUGCGUCCCAUUAGCUAGUUGGUAAGGUAACGGCUUACCAAGGCUACGAUGGGUAGGGGUCCUGAGAGGGAGAUCCCCCACACUGGUACUGAGACACGGACCAGACUCCUACGGGAGGCAGCAGUGAGGAAUAUUGGACAAUGGGCGCAAGCCUGAUCCAGCCAUGCCGCGUGCAGGAUGACGGUCCUAUGGAUUGUAAACUGCUUUUGUACAGGAAGAAACACUACUUCGUGAAGUAGCUUGACGGUACUGUAAGAAUAAGGAUCGGCUAACUCCGUG
rnacentral:rRNA from 1 species